rnacentral:lncRNA from 1 species
AUGACACUGGUGCAGGCCACUCAGCUUUUUGUUUUCUUUUCUUUCUUUUUUUUUUUUUCUUUUUUUUUUUUUCUUUUUUUUUUUUUUUUUUUUUUUUUGACAGGCAGAGUGGGUAGUGAGAGAGAGAGACAGAGAGAAAGGUCUUCCUUUGCGGUUGGUUCACCCCGCAAUGGCCGCUGCAGCCAGUGCACUGUGCUGAUCCGAAGUCAGGAGCCAGGUGCUUCUCCUGGUCUCCCAUGGGGUCCAGGGCCCAAGGACCUGGGCCAUCCUCCACUGCACUCCCGGGCCACAGCAGAGAGCUGGCUUGGAAGAGGGGCAACCGGGACAGAAUCCAGCGCCCCAACCGGGACUAGAACCUGGUGUGCCGGCGCCGCUAGGCGGAGGAUUAGCCUAGUGAGCCACAGCACCGGCAGCUUUUUCUCCAUGGAGAUCUCGUGCACUAAGAGACCCAGUAGGCACACUGCUUGCUGUCCAGUUGCUGCUUCAGGAGCUGGCAAUCACAGCCUCGUCUGCCACCCGCCCUGCGUGGGCACAGAGUACAUGGACAGAUCUGAUGGGAUUCGCACAGGGAAGGCGACGGGCCGGCUCCAGAGGCAGCUCUGCAGGUCCUUUCCAGCUACUGUGGGAGCUCCAGCUGGCUCUUUUUCCAUAAAGCACCCCAAGUUACAUUGCUCAGGUUGCACUUUCGUGGGUACCACAAUCCUCCCAUUCCAGACCCAAGCUCUCCAUGGGUACUCUCUACAGGUACUGAGAGGCCCAGAGGUGCUAUUCCUAAGUAUUUUUUGUUGUCUCCUUUUGAUUUCCUCAGUGCCUGCUCAUUGCUGGACUCCCACAUUGAUCACCUCUGUGUCAGAGAUGCUCCUAGAGGGUGCAGACCCCCAGGAGCGCACAGCCUGGAGAGAAGGCUCUGGUCUGGGUGCUCCCUCCAAGCUCCUCAACUCCACACCCCCCCCCCCAGAAGAACAGGUGCACUUUUCAAUGUACAGGGAAUGCACAGAGACCCACCCCUUCUUGUUGGUCCCCAUGGCAGCAGGGCACCUGGGUCUUCGGUACAGGGAACGAUGGCCACCCACAGGGGUUGCCUGGUCCCCAGAGUCUUUUCUGAGCAGCCAACCCCAGGGGAGUCAGAUCCCUCCGGAAAACAUGCCAUUCUUGCUUCCCUGA